CCUCUUGGACUGGGACAACUGUUGGAAACGACAGCUAAUACCAGAUAUUAUGAGAUUCUCGCAUGAGAAAUUUAUGAAAGCUAUAUGCGCCAAGAGAGAGCCUUGCGUUCCAUUAGCUAGUUGGUGGGGUAACGGCCCACCAAGGCGACGAUGGAUAGCCGGCCUGAGAGGGUGAACGGCCACAAGGGGACUGAGACACGGCCCUUACUCCUACGGGAGGCAGCAGUGGGGAAUAUUGGACAAUGGGCCACAAGCCUGAUCCAGCAAUUCUGUGUGCACGAUGAAGGUCUUCGGAUUGUAAAGUGCUUUCAGUUGGGAAGAAGAAAGUGACGGUACCAACAGAAGAAGCGACGGCUAAAUACGUGCCAGCAGCCGCGGUAAUACGUAUGUCGCAAGCGUUAUCCGGAUUUAUUGGGCGUAAAGCGCGUCUAGGCGGAAAAAUAAGUCUGAUGUUAAAAUGCGGGGCUCAACUCCGUAUUGCGUUGGAAACUGUUUUUCUAGAGUACUGGAGAGGUGGGCGGAACUACAAGUGUAGAGGUGAAAUUCGUAGAUAUUUGUAGGAAUGCCGAUGGAGAAGUCAGCUCACUGGACAGAUACUGACGCUGAAGCGCGAAAGCGUGGGGAGCAAACAGG
rnacentral:rRNA from 1 species